UCCCGGGCCUUGUACACACCGCCCGUCAAACCAUGAGAGUUGGCAACACCCGAAGUCGGUAGUCUAACCGCAAGGAGGACGCCGCCGAAGGUGGGGUUGAUGAUUAGGGUUAAGUCGUAACAAGGUAGC
rnacentral:rRNA from 1 species